CCAAUAGCGUAUAUUAAAGUUGUUGCAGUUAAAAAGCUCGUAGUUGAAUUUCGGGGUCAGUAGGCUGGUCGUGCCACAGGUAUGAACUGGUCUCACUGAUUCCUCCUUCCUGAUGAACCGUAAUGCCAUUAAUUUGGUGUUGCGGGGCGACUGGACUGUUACUUUGAAAAAAUUAGAGUGUUUAAAGCAGGCUAACGCUUGAAUACAUUAGCAUGGAAUAAUGAAAUAGGACGUUCGGUCUUAUUUUGUUGGUUUCUAAGAUUGACGUAAUGAUUA
rnacentral:rRNA from 1 species